rfam:Hydnomerulius pinastri MD-312 unplaced genomic scaffold scaffold_4, whole genome shotgun sequence.
GGCCUUGUAGUCUAGAGGUACGAUACUUGCUUUGGGUACUUCACAACUGCAAGUGGCCUGGGUUCGAUUCCCAGCAAGGCCC